rnacentral:rRNA from 1 species
UACGUAGGGGGCAAGCGUUGUCCGGAAUCAUUGGGCGUAAAGCGCGUGUAGGCGGCUUGGUAAGUCCGGUGUGAAACCUUGGGGCUCAACCCCCAAGCCUGCAUCGGAAACUGCCUCGCUCGAGUCCGGGAGGGGAGAGGCGGAAUUCCUAGUGUAGCGGUGAAAUGCGCAGAUAUUAGGAAGAACACCGGUGGCGAAGGCGGCUCUCUGGAACGCAACUGACGCCUGAGACGGCGAAAGCGUGGGGAGCAAACAGG